GAUGAACGCUGGCGGCGUGCCUAAUACAUGCAAGUCGAGCGAACGGACGAGAAGCUUGCUUCUCUGAUGUUAGCGGCGGACGGGUGAGUAACACGUGGAUAACCUACCUAUAAGACUGGGAUAACUUCGGGAAACCGUAGCUAAUACCGGAUAAUAUUUUGAACCGCAUGGUUCAAAAGUGAAAGACGGUCUUGCUGUCACUUAUAGAUGGAUCCGCGCUGCAUUAGCUAGUUGGUAAGGUAACGGCUUACCAAGGCAACGAUGCAUAGCCGACCUGAGAGGGUGAUCGGCCACACUGGAACUGAGACACGGUCCAGACUCCUACGGGAGGCAGCAGUAGGGAAUCUUCCGCAAUGGGCGAAAGCCUGACGGAGCAACGCCGCGUGAGUGAUGAAGGUCUUCGGAUCGUAAAACUCUGUUAUUAGGGAAGAACAUAUGUGUAAGUAACUGUGCACAUCUUGACGGUACCUAAUCAGGAAGCCACGGCUAACUACGUGCCAGCAGCCGCGGUAAUACGUAGGUGGCAAGCGUUAUCCGGAAUUAUUGGGCGUAAAGCGCGCGUAGGCGGUUUUUUAAGUCUGAUGUGAAAGCCCACGGCUCAUCCGUGGAGGGUCAUUGGAAACUGGAAAACUUGAGUGCAGAAGAGGAAAGUGGAAUUCCAUGUGUAGCGGUGAAAUGCGCAGAGAUAUGGAGGAACACCAGUGGCGAAGGCGACUUUCUGGUCUGUAACUGACGCUGAUGUGCGAAAGCGUGGGGAUCAAACAGGAUUAGAUACCCUGGUAGUCCACGCCGUAAACGAUGAGUGCUAAGUGUUAGGGGGUUUCCGCCCCUUAGUGCUGCAGCUAACGCAUUAAGCACUCCGCCUGGGGAGUACGACCGCAAGGUUGAAACUCAAAGGAAUUGACGGGGACCCGCACAAGCGGUGGAGCAUGUGGUUUAAUUCGAAGCAACGCGAAGAACCUUACCAAAUCUUGACAUCCUUUGACAACUCUAGAGAUAGAGCCUUCCCCUUCGGGGGACAAAGUGACAGGUGGUGCAUGGUUGUCGUCAGCUCGUGUCGUGAGAUGUUGGGUUAAGUCCCGCAACGAGCGCAACCCUUAAGCUUAGUUGCCAUCAUUAAGUUGGGCACUCUAAGUUGACUGCCGGUGACAAACCGGAGGAAGGUGGGGAUGACGUCAAAUCAUCAUGCCCCUUAUGAUUUGGGCUACACACGUGCUACAAUGGACAAUACAAAGGGCAGCGAAACCGCGAGGUCAAGCAAAUCCCAUAAAGUUGUUCUCAGUUCGGAUUGUAGUCUGCAACUCGACUACAUGAAGCUGGAAUCGCUAGUAAUCGUAGAUCAGCAUGCUACGGUGAAUACGUUCCCGGGUCU
rnacentral:rRNA from 1 species